AUGUACCAGCUUGGUCGAGAUGUGUCACAGAUCAGCAGCAUCUGCAGGCCCAGUGUGCUGAGGCUGAGGCAGGGGACCCAGUGCUCAGCAGGCCUGGAGCAGGUGUGUCUGCAGCGGGAUGAAAGCACAACAAGACCCCGAGCAUUAAGGAGGCCCCUGGGACUCUACAGAAACAGGCUCCACAUUCUUCUUUUAAGAUGGCUCAAGAAAAAAUAAAUAGACAAAUAAUAAUAAAACUCACUAUUAUAUUAUUAUUAUUAUUAUUAUUUAAAUGUAAGUAAAACAGAUGAGAAUAUAUAUAUAUAUAUAUAUAUAUAUAUAUAUAUAUAUAAAAUUGUAUUUUAAUAUUUGCGUUUAUCAGAUAAACAACUUUUUAAAAUAACCUAAACAGGAGUUUUAUUUGUUUUAACAAAAACAGAAUAUUAAAUUUUUUAUUAAAAAAAAUGUAUAUAAUAUGAAAAUAUUGGGGGUGUAAAGGUACACAAAGGUGGUGGAUCGGUAUGUACCUCGAUUUUGAUGUUUGGUACAAAGGGGAAAAACUAAACACACACACACACACACACACAUAUAUAUAUAAAAUUAAACUUUUUAAUUAAAAAAGUGAUUUACUGAACAAAUGACUCUAUCUUUAAAUAAAUAUUUUCUCUUCCUUUAAUAAUAUUUUCCAAGAGAUAAAAAUCUACCUCAGCUCAUGCUAUAAACAAGGGAGCCCUUUUACAUCACUAUAUGGUUACAAUUAACAACAGAGCCCAAACUUAAAAUUAUAUUAUUAUAUAUUUCUAAAUAUAACAAUCAACACUCAACACACAUAAUGAAUUAUUUAAAUGAACUUCUAAAUGAUAAAAUUUCUAUUUGUUGUUGAAAUAUAUUUAUUUAUACAGUGGCUGUCAUAACUUGUUUCAGAACAGAUUCAUUUAAACAUACAUUAAAUAACGCUUGAGCUCCACAUUGCCAUUUGAACUGAGGCAUUUAUACAGGGAUCUGUUGCGCCACAUCAAAAAAGCGCUAAAACAGCAUUUAUUGUUUGAAUUUCCUGAAGAAAUUGACAGAAUUUCAAAGAUGAGACUUUGUUUCUUAUCAAAAGUAACAAUUUAUAAAACUGGAAGUUUCCAAUGAAGUUCCACUCGUGCAGUGGUUAAAACAAUGCUGUAUUUGUUUGGUAUACAUUGCAUACCAAACCGAAAGGUUACUGUUACACCCCUAGAUAAUAUGUAUGUUUAAUAUUUGUGUUUUAUUUAUAAUUGGAAUUUUACAACAGCUUAAAAAAUAACCCCAUUUCCUCCACCAAAGUGAGGCGGACCACAAGGCCUUGCUUUGAAGAAAACUAUGAGGAAAGGAGGUUUGAGAGCUGAAGUGAUUUUCAGGGUCUCCCUUAAAAGAAAUCUCUACUUUAUCCCUCACCCCCCAAAAUAUUGCUCCCUCAUCUCAGAUUUAGAGGGCUGCUGGGAGACCUAAAGUGUUUGGGUCAUAACACAUCUAUUUCAAGGAAUCUCCAGAGACUCAUUCUCCAAUCAGACGUACAGUAGCUUUAGAUUCUGAAGCACCCCCACCUGCUGACACCCCAUUGUUUUGCAACAGGCUAUUAAUGUGAAUAAAUGAUAUGUUAAAUAUUAAAGAGAAUUUAACUACAUAUUUGCCUUUUCUUCUAUCUAUUUGACAUCUUAGAAUAUACUUCUGACAUGUUAAUAUUUAAAUAUGUUCUAGUUUAAGGAACUACUUAAAGCAGCAUAAUUUCAUGCUGAAUUCCACCCAGUGUCAGUCAAAGGGGAUGUUGAAUGGUAAUAUCAAAUCUUUGGAGCACUUUGUUCAUUUUGAAAGCAUGAUCAAUGUCUCAAUAGCAUGAGACUAAGUCUAAAUGUCUAAAUGGCCUAAAUAUCGCUCUUUCUGGGAACAAAUGUAAUAAAAUCAGACCUUAAUUUUAUUAGGCAUCUUAAAUUUUAGAGUAGAUGUUUGUGGAAAAUGCUGAUUGCUGGCAUCUGUCCAUCUGUCUCUGUGCAUAUAAAUGAAUGACUGCUGGAAAGUGGACGACGGGGCUAGAAAGAUGGAAAAAUGUCAGUAGGUCUACUCAAGUUUACAAAAGAGAAAUAAACACAAGUUUAUUUCUCUUACCCUCACGUGUGUCAGGUUUCUGUAUUUGGCAUAAUGCUGCCAGACUAAAAGUGCAGAAUUGGCAAAUGUCUCGGAAAUUGGGUGCUGAAUAGUAUUACCAAAAUCAGUUCAACAUCUUGUUAGACAAGAAAACUUGUUGCACCUGGAGAGCAUCGUCAGGGUCUUAGCCCAUAUUCUUGUAGAAAAUGUUAUCAAAUGAAUCAAACAAUGGACCAUUUUUACAUUUGUUCUCUUCAAUGAUUGUAAAUACAAACUAAAAAUGGACCACAACUCAAUUCAGCAAGAGAAAAUGUGACAGCCACAGUGAAGGAUGAACAAACUGUCAAAUCAUGACAAUGUAAACACCAACAGCAGAGUGAAUAAUGCAUUUAUCACUUGAACACUACAAUGCUGGUUAACUUAAUCAUCUACUCUUAAAAGCUACCAUCCCUUAAGGAAGUUCACAAAAGAGCAGUCCACAUUCUGUCUGUAAACUGAUCCCAUAAGUUUGCUUGCUUACAGUGAGCUGUGUUUCGGGAAUUGCACACACUUGGGAAGAACUACUGUAUUCAUCUUGUAGGGCCAUAUGAGAACUAAGGAAUUUCAGGCUUAGGAUUUUUGGCUGCUUUUUAUUUAGGUUCAAGUUUAUUAUAAGACCAAAGAGUGAUUAUUGGUGCAGUACAAACACAAACAAAACAAAUAACAACACAACAACUAACAAAUUUAAAAGCCUUCCAGCAGUCGGAAUAAAAGUAUGUCUGUACCGAUUGCUUUUAUGUUUAGGCAUACUAUACUGUAUACCAGAAGGAAGCAUUUUAAACUCAUGGAACAGUGGAUUAGUACCCAAUUUGGUGUUCCCUUUUAAAAUUUGCUUGUAAAUCCAUCACUUCCAACCCUAACCCUAUGCUAUAUUAUCAUCGAAUCUUGGAUUCAAUCUUUUUGUCAACUUGUUUCCUUUUAAUUAGAACUUUUGUAUUUUUUUGGAACUGACUGAUCUCAUUGAUCUGAGGUUGUGCACUUCAUUUAUAAAUGAAAAAAAUAAUUACUUCUGCUUAUAAUUUGGUAAUAUUCACUCAAUAACAGAUUUAAAUUUUUUUAUCAAAUAUUUGGUAGUAACACAGCAUAAUGAAUAAUUUAUAAGCAAUUUUUGUAGGCCAGUUAUUUUUGACCGGGAACACCAGUGUGACAAGGUGUAAAAAAAAAAUAAUAAUAAAAAAAUAAAAAAUCCAAAAAGAGCACAAAAUUUACCAAUUUUAAGUUA
ensembl:lncRNA